GGGCUCUGCACAGCACACAACCCCACCGGCCUGGUGCCUAGCAAGGUCGCCUGCUGGCUGUUCCUGCACUUGCUCUACGUCAUUGAUACCACAUGCGUCUUGGAGACAGGACUUGAAAUAUUUACUUGGUCCCUACAAAAAGUGUCUCCCAUAGAGUAGGUGCUCAGGAAAUGCCAGCUGAUGCAUAGAUGCAUCUUGUGUAAAUCAGGAAAGAAAUCACGUGGUUCUGCGCCUGCAGGUGUCUGAUCAACCUGGGCCUCCCGUGGCCCCGGGGCAGGCGCACCUGCACAGCAAGGGGGCUGUAAAGAGGCCUAAAACUCUUCUGAGUUGAUGUCACAGAGCUAUGACCUGCAUGUUGUCCUAAGUGGGAGGGGUGAGGAGCGCUGCAGGAAGGCUCCUCCUUGGCAAGGACAUGGAUGGUUUCUCCAGAGUUCACCUGACUCCCCCGCCUCCAGCUUCAAGCAUCCAGGAUGCUUAACUGCAGUGAGGGAAAGGCUGCAGUUCCAGGAAGACUCUGGGAGGUCUGAACACCCAUCGCCACAAGAGCACAUGGACGCCCGAGAAAAGGUGCAAACCUGACUCUUCACCUCCCGGAGUCAGGUUAGAACUGGAGGCCAGUCUGCUGUUCUACUCAACAGCUAGAAGAGAGGAUCUGAAUGUUCUCACCACAAAGAAUUGAUAAAUCUGAGGUGACGGUCAUGCGAACUACCUGAUUUGAUCAUUUUAC
rnacentral:lncRNA from 1 species